CAGUCGAACGAUGAAGCCCUUCGGGGUGGAUUAGUGGCGAACGGGUGAGUAACACGUGGGCAAUCUGCCCUUCACUCUGGGACAAGCCCUGGAAACGGGGUCUAAUACCGGAUAACACUUCCGUCCUCCUGGACGGUGGUUAAAAGCUCCGGCGGUGAAGGAUGAGCCCGCGGCCUAUCAGCUUGUUGGUGAGGUAAUGGCUCACCAAGGCGACGACGGGUAGCCGGCCUGAGAGGGCGACCGGCCACACUGGGACUGAGACACGGCCCAGACUCCUACGGGAGGCAGCAGUGGGGAAUAUUGCACAAUGGGCGAAAGCCUGAUGCAGCGACGCCGCGUGAGGGAUGACGGCCUUCGGGUUGUAAACCUCUUUCAGCAGGGAAGAAGCGAAAGUGACGGUACCUGCAGAAGAAGCGCCGGCUAACUACGUGCCAGCAGCCGCGGUAAUACGUAGGGCGCAAGCGUUGUCCGGAAUUAUUGGGCGUAAAGAGCUCGUAGGCGGCUUGUCACGUCGGUUGUGAAAGCCCGGGGCUUAACCCCGGGUCUGCAGUCGAUACGGGCAGGCUAGAGUGUGGUAGGGGAGAUCGGAAUUCCUGGUGUAGCGGUGAAAUGCGCAGAUAUCAGGAGGAACACCGGUGGCGAAGGCGGAUCUCUGGGCCAUUACUGACGCUGAGGAGCGAAAGCGUGGGGAGCGAACAGGAUUAGAUACCCUGGUAGUCCACGCCGUAAACGGUGGGAACUAGGUGUUGGCGACAUUCCACGUCGUCGGUGCCGCAGCUAACGCAUUAAGUUCCCCGCCUGGGGAGUACGGCCGCA
rnacentral:rRNA from 1 species